GAGCCCGGAGCCAGGCUGCUGU
rnacentral:miRNA from 1 species